UACAUAAUGGUGUAAGCGCACGUAAAUUUUUGGAUUUUAAGGGGAAAGAUCAAGUUCUUUCUUUUGUGG
rnacentral:tRNA from 1 species